AGGGAUAGGGAAUUGCAAUUAUUUCCCCUGAACGAGGAAUUCCCAGUAAGCGCGAGUCAUUAGCUCGCGUUGAUUACGUCCCUGCCCUUUGUACACACCGCCCGUCGCUACUACCGAUUGAAUGGUUUAGUGAGGUCCUCCGAUUGGACCCGGUCCGGGCGGCGACGUCCGAGCCGGCGUCCGAGAAGACGAUCUAACUUGAUCAUUUAGAGGAAGUAAAAGUCGUAACAAGGUUUCCGUAGGUGAACCUGCGGAAGGAUCAUUA
rnacentral:ncRNA from 1 species